AAGCAGAGGAGGCCCGGGCAGUGCCAGGAGUCAAGGGCACCCCAGAGGAGGAGGUGGAGGAAGAAAUGCCUGCUACUGAAACAUGGAGUCCUCCCCAGAGUCCUCACAGCUCCUCCUCAAUGCCGUGGAGAACAUCAGCACAAAGAGAAGUCCUGGGCCUGGCCAACCAUCAAGAUGAGGACACUAAGGGAGGUGUGGAGGCACUGCCCAUGGCGAUACACGGACUCUACACCCCACAACCCUGCCCCUGCCGUUAUCCCUGGGAGACCCCGGGCAGGGUUCCCGGAUGUGCUGUGUGGGGACUUUCCUCUCAUGAGUCUGAGCCACCUGAGGCUCUGUGUGAGGAGCAGGCUUAGGUCAGGAGAGAGGAGCCCUAGGCUCUGCCAGGCUGCAAGGUGAGGACCCUGAGGGAGGACUGCAGGGAGAGGGCCCAGCGCCGAGUGGGCCAGCAUAACCUGUGCUGUCGGUCCUGGAACACCCCAAGCCCAGGUGCUCUGUGUGACAUCUCCUGCCGAACACUGGGGGUCUGAGGGUCGGGAGGCAGUGCCUGAGGCCCCAACUCAGGUCAGCGGAGGGAGGAGUCAGCGGCCUGGCCGGGUGGAAGGUGAGGGCCCACAGGGAGGAGUGAGGGGAGCUCCUAGCCCAGAUAAAGGUACCCAGUCCCGCCUUGCCCUUGCCGCCAGCCCCGGGGGGGCCAGGCAGGGUGCCCGGAUGUUCCGCUUGUUCUGUUUCCCGAUUUGGAUCUCCGGAGUCUGAGGGGUGGGGCUUCAGCUCAACAGAUGGAGGAGUCCUUGGACUGGCCAAUCAUCAAGGAGAAGACCCUGCGGGAGGCGUGGAGGCACCGCCCACUGCAGAUAGGGGGACCACGCCCCACUGUGCCCCUGCCAUCAUCCCUGGGAGGCCCCGGGCGGGGUUCCCGGAUGUGGCGUGGGGACUCACGUCGGGAGUCUGAGCUACCUGAGGCUCUGUCUGAGGGGCAGCCUUGGGUCAUAAGAGAAGAGCCCUAGGCUCUGCCAGGCUGCAAGGUAAGGACCCUGAGGGAGGAGUGAGAGGAGAGCUCACUGGAGAGAGGGAGCUGUCCACCCCAGCUGUGCCCCUGUUGUCAUCCCCGGAAGCCCCAGACUGGACACGAGGGUUUUUCUGAGGGGGGACUCUGUGGAGGGAGGAGGCCUGGGCCCUGCCCGGCUUCAAGAUGCAGAUCCUGAGGGAGGAGGGAGGGGACCUGCCAAUGGAGACAGCGGGGCCCCUUAGAAUCCCUCGUGUCAGCCCGAUUUGGCGGGCUGCGAGCAGAGGGACGCCUCCUUACGCCCUGCCUUCCGUUUCCGGUUCUCAGGGAGCCGGCGGGGUGGGCCCAGGGAGCAUCGUCAGGUCGGUGGAAGGGAGAGGGUGCCGGCCACGUGGGGAAUCAGUGUGACUACUUUGAGGAUGGAUGGCGGCACCUUCUAGAGAUAGAGGCCCCCAAACCCCACUCUGCCCCCACUGUCGACCGCGGGAGGACUCGGGCAGGGGCGGCCGGAUGCGGUGCUCCCUUGCUUCUUCCAGGAAGCGGUUGGGCUUGUCUCAUGGAAGCGAGGCCUUCGUGUGGGGGGCAAUGGGAAUACCCAGCAGGAGGACAGAAGAUGCCUCCUGCUGCAGAACAGAUGGGGUUCAGUCCCUGCUGUCAGCCCUAGGAGACCCUGGUGGGAGUGGCGGGAUGUGGCCUCUGCUUUUAUCUGGAGGUUUUCAGGGGAGUGAGGUCCUGGGUCUGAAGGGGUGAGGGUGGAUCGGCAGGGGCAGGAGUCCCAGGCCCUACCCAGGGUCAGUUUCAGGACUGAGGGCACCCCCUGCACCAGAACACAUGGGGCCCGAAGGUUCUCUGCCUUUGCUGUCAACACAGGCGUGCCAGGGGCGUGGUUACUGGCCGUGGUCCCCCUCCCGUUCUUCUGGGGGGGGGGUGUCUGGGAGGUGAAGACUUUGGUCUGAGAGGUAGGGCCGGAGUUCAGCAGAGGGAGGAGUACCACAGCCUGCCAGAUGUCAAGAUGAAGACUC
rnacentral:lncRNA from 1 species